GCUGCUGUCGAAGUUCCAUCUACAAUGGAUAAGACUUUGGUCUUAGUAUAAGUCUAGCCGAGUUUUUGAUUGGAAAGGAGCAAUAACCAACACUCUUGAUAGAAAAAGAAAUUGGUUAUUGUUCCUUUAUUUAGUGCUCUUUUCUUUACAUAAGUUUUUCUUUACUUCAACAUAAGAAAAAGUAUUCUAGUCUUAGGGAUUGCUUUAUGAUUGCUUAUCAUACUUUUUUCCUUAGAUAUGAAUUUAUAUACAUUCUUUUCAACCCUUUGUAAGGCUUUGUAAGAUUAUUAUCUUCUAGUUUUUUUUUUCAAAUAAAAAAGAAAGGUUAUAAUUUUUUGCUUUUUCUAUCUCAUAAUUAAGAUAGAAAAAUGUGAAAAAUUCCCAAUCGAAUGAAAUAUUUUCCCUUAUGAAAUU
rnacentral:misc_RNA from 1 species